CGUAGGUGAACCUGCGGAAGGAUCAUUACCGAGUGUAGGGUUCCUAGCGAGCCCAACCUCCCACCCGUGUUUACUGUACCUUAGUUGCUUCGGCGGGCCCGCCAUUCAUGGCCGCCGGGGGCUCUCAGCCCCGGGCCCGCGCCCGCCGGAGACACCACGAACUCUGUCUGAUCUAGUGAAGUCUGAGUUGAUUGUAUCGCAAUCAGUUAAAACUUUCAACAAUGGAUCUCUUGGUUCCGGCAUCGAUGAAGAACGCAGCGAAAUGCGAUAACUAGUGUGAAUUGCAGAAUUCCGUGAAUCAUCGAGUCUUUGAACGCACAUUGCGCCCCCUGGUAUUCCGGGGGGCAUGCCUGUCCGAGCGUCAUUGCUGCCCAUCAAGCACGGCUUGUGUGUUGGGUCGUCGUCCCCUCUCCGGGGGGGACGGGCCCCAAAGGCAGCGGCGGCACCGCGUCCGAUCCUCGAGCGUAUGGGGCUUUGUCACCCGCUCUGUAGGCCCGGCCGGCGCUUGCCGAACGCAAAUCAAUCUUUUUCCAGGUUGACCUCGGAUCAGGUAGGGAUACCC
rnacentral:rRNA from 1 species